rnacentral:rRNA from 1 species
UGCAGUCGACGGAACGAUGGGAGCUUGCUCCCAGGCGUCGAGUGGCGGACGGGUGAGUAAUACUUAGGAAUCUGCCCAUUAGUGGGGGACAACUAGAAGAAAUUCUAGCUAAUACCGCAUACGCCCUACGGGGGAAAGCGGGGGAUCUUCGGACCUCGCGCUAAUGGAUGAGCCUAAGUCGGAUUAGCUUGUUGGUGAGGUAAUGGCUCACCAAGGCGACGAUCCGUAGCUGGUCUGAGAGGACGAUCAGCCACACUGGGACUGAGACACGGCCCAGACUCCUACGGGAGGCAGCAGUGGGGAAUAUUGGGCAAUGGACGAAAGUCUGACCCAGCCAUGCCGCGUGUGUGAAGAAGGCUCUAGGGUUGUAAAGCACUUUAAGUAGGGAGGAAAGGUUGUGUGUUAAUAGCACAUAGCUGUGACGUUACCUACAGAAUAAGCACCGGCUAACUCCGUGCCAGCAGCCGCGGUAAUACG